GACGAACGCUGGCGGCGUGCUUAACACAUGCAAGUCGAACGGUGAAGCGCCUUCCUUUUUGGUGGGUGUGGAUGAGUGGCGAACGGGUGAGUAACACGUGAGUAACCUGCCCCCUUCUUCUGGAUAACCGCAUGAAAGUGUGGCUAAUACGGGAUAUUCUGGGUCUGUCGCAUGAUGGGUCUGGGAAAGAUAUUGUUUCGGUGGGGGAUGGGCUCGCGGCCUAUCAGCUUGUUGGUGGGGUGAUGGCCUACCAAGGCGGUGACGGGUAGCCGGCCUGAGAGGGUGGACGGUCACACUGGGACUGAGACACGGCCCAGACUCCGACGGGAGGCAGCAGGGGGGAAUAUUGCACAAUGGGCGCAAGCCUGAUGCAGCGACGCCGCGGGAGGGAUGGAGGCCUGCGGGUUGUGAACCUCUUUCGCCAGUGAAGCAGGCCUGCCUCGUUUGUGGGUGGGUUGACGGUAGCUGGAGAAGAAGCGCCGGCUAACUACGUG
rnacentral:rRNA from 1 species